rnacentral:rRNA from 1 species
UACGUAGGGUGCGAGCGUUGUCCGGAAUUAUUGGGCGUAAAGAGCUUGUAGGUGGUUUGUCGCGUCUGCUGUGAAAAUCCGAGGCUCAACCUCGGACUUGCAGUGGGUACGGGCAGACUAGAGUGUGGUAGGGGAGACUGGAAUUCCUGGUGUAGCGGUGGAAUGCGCAGAUAUCAGGAGGAACACCGAUGGCGAAGGCAGGUCUCCUGGGC